rnacentral:rRNA from 1 species
UACGGAGGGUGCAAACGUUGCUCGGAAUCAUUGGGCGUAAAGCGCGCGUAGGUGGCUUCGUAAGUCCGUUGUGAAAGUCAAAGGCUCAACCUUUGAAAGCCGAUGGAUACUGCGGAGCUAGAGUACGGAAGAGGCGAGUGGAAUUCCUGGUGUAGCGGUGGAAUGCGCAGAUAUCAGGAGGAACACCAAUAGCGAAGGCAGCUCGCUGGACCAUAACUGACGCUGAGGCACGAAAGCUAGGGGAGCAAACAGG